AUGACGGCCCUACGGGUUGUAAACUGCUUUUGUCAGGGAAGAAACCCCGCUACGUGUAGCGGGUUGACGGUACUUGAAGAAUAAGGACCGGCUAACUUCGUGC
rnacentral:rRNA from 1 species